rnacentral:lncRNA from 1 species
CUUUUUGCCUUUACUUGAGCUGCUCCUGUGGCAUAUGAAGGUUCCCAGGCUAGGGGCCUACGCCAGAGCCACAGCAACAUGGGAUCCGAGCAGCGUCUGCAACCUACACCACAGCUCAUGGCAAUGCCAGAUCCUUAACCCACUGAGCAAGCCCAGGGAUCGAACCCGCAACCUCAUGGUUCCUAGUAGAAUUUGUUAACCUCUGCACCAUUAUGGGAACUCCUAUACCAUUAUUUUCAUAUAAUUGGACAGUACUUAAAAGCCAGUAAGAUCACUUUAAAAACAUUUAAAUAUGUAUAAAUAGACACAUAUACAUAUAUGUACAUAAUAUAUAUAGAAAUGUGAAGUAGAUAAAUACAUAUCCAUAUAUUAAAGAAUUACCUUGACAGUUUUAAGAUAUUUCUCUAACUUUUGAAAAAUAAACAGCUAGUGAAAAACUAAGUCUCCUUUGCAAAACUUGACUCUGAAAAGAAAGAUUCUUCAAAUGCUUCUCCAAGAACUUGUCUAUUUAUUUUAAAUGAAAUCCAGCUGUGAAGUAAUCAAAUAUUUGAAAUAGAAGGAAAAUGUUCAUGAAAUCAGACAUAUAUACAUACAUAUAUAUGUGAAUAUAUUUACACACAACUGGUUAAAUAUAAUUACUAUAUAAUACAUAUAAAAUAUAGAUCUUCCUUAACUUACUAUGGCAUUACAUCCCGAUAAACCCAUCAUCAAUUGAAAAUAUCAUAAACUGCAAAUGCAUAUACUAUGCCCAAUCCACCAACCAUCAGAGUUUAGCCUAGCCUACUUUACAUGUGCUCAAAACACCCACAUUAGCCUACACUUGGGCAAAAUCAUCUAAGAUAAAGCCCAUUUUAUAAUAAGGUGUUGAAUAGCUCUUGUGUUUUACCGAAUACUGUACCAAAAGUGAAAAACAGAAUGGUCGUAUGGGGACAGAAUAGUGUCCAUGUGUUGUUGUGAUCGAGUGGCUGACUGGGAACAGUGGCUUUUGCUGCUAUUGCCCAGUGUCACAAAACAGCAUCGUGCUGCAUAUCACUAGCCUGGGAAAAAGAUCAAAAUUCUACUAAAUUUGUAUCACCUUUGUACCAUCAUAAAGUUGAAAAAUAAUGUCACACCCCUGUAAGUUGGAGAAUGUCUGUAUAUAAAUUUUUAUAUAAUAUAUGUGUAUACAUGUGUACACAUGUAUAUUUAACACAGGUAUUUUCAUUGUUCGUAACAUCUCAUCUUCGAAUCGGAUUAUGCCCAAAAAUCUAUGCAGCAAGCCUUUGGUGAAUAACUAAUGAAUUCAACAUUUGAACAGGGAAUACUGGUGUGGAAAUUCAGGACAAACCUAUACUCCUAAAAAUGUUUUACAUUUUUUACUUGGAAGAAUAAACUUAGGUACACAUGAUUAGGCUCUGCCAUUUGAAAUAAAUGACUGCAAAUCUGGCUAGAGUUGUUGAUCACCACAAAAUUCUCACUUGUGAGCAACUAUGGCUUACAUAUUAAAAGGAAGGCUUUAGGCAGUUUUUGUACUCGUUUUCUUAAACCAAAGUGGUCCAUAUUGAUGAUUAAAAGUCAUACAGAAAUGUAAAAUUAUGUGUUUUACAAGCCCUUCAAAAACUGUUAUCAUACUAAAGCCUAUGUGUGUCCUGUUUUUUUAAGUGAGUGUUUUUGGGAUCAAACCCAAGCCACAGCAGCAACCUGAGCUACUUCAGUGACGACUCUGGAUCCUUAACCUGCUGCACCACAAGGGAACUCCUCAUUGAGGCUCUAUUUUUGAUUUCAGUUUUAAGGUGUUGCAAGUGAUUGAAUCUAAUCAGUAGCACAGAGUUAAGGAAUGAAAUUCUGAGUGUUAAAAAUUAAUUCUGAGUAUUACAUGUUCUCUAAAUUAUCUGAGAUUCAGUAAUCUAGAAAGAUAUCAUAUACCAAAAAGAUGCUUUUGUAAAUGAUGUACGAUGGAGUCACAGAUUAAUUUUUCUUUUUGGAAAACUUAAUGAUAUUGAUUAACAGUUAAAAAACUUUUUCAGGAGUUCCCUGAUGGCCUAGUGCCUUAAGGAUCUGGCAUUGUCAAAGCUGUGGCUCGGGUUCAGUCCCUGGCCUGGGACCUUCCCAAUGUCACAGGAGUGGCCAAAAAAACCAAAACCCAAAAAAUUUCUUCAAUAGUUAUAUAUUUAAAAAGAAAAGAUUGGGGUACAAGGCAGAUAAUUAUCAGGAUUAUCUUUAAAGGCUUUUGUUAGAGGAAGUGUUAACAAAUCUUUAUAAAUUAAAGUUGCCCUCUCCCAGGAACAUCAACACUGUAUUAUAAAAAAAUUAAACUUGUCCACUGUUGCUUUAAGAAAAGGAACAUUCCCAUUUUCUGUGACAUUUGCUUCUGAAAUCAACACCCUUAUGCAACAACCUUGAUAUUAUUUCUAACAAUGAGUCAGUGAAGGGUAAUUAGACAUAUGGUACAGUUCAGAAAAAUAAGAUGCACAAUUAUUAGCCAAUUGAGAUUUCCCAGGUCAUCCAAUCAA